UUCACAAAAUCAGACUUGCCCUGCACAUAUCAUCAGGUAAGGAUGCAUUACUCCAAUAUUGAAAAAACAGCUUUUCGAACUCAUCACGGGCACUUCUUGGAAUUUGAGGUGAUGUCUUUUGAUUUGACUAAUGCUCCUUCAACCUUCCAAACCUUAAUGGUCCUCAACCUUACAAGCCUUACUCGCAUAAGUGAAAUGUAUCUGCAAUAUUUUACUAAUGGUUGUCCUAUGCGAUGGGUUGAUUGGGUUUAAUGGGAUGAAUAUUGUUACAACACCAGCUUUCACACUUCUUUACGUUGCCCUCCUUUCAAACUAGUAUAUGGUCAUCCUCCACCACAGGAAUUAUCUUCUUAUGCAGAAGAUGCUAAACUACAAGCUGUUGAUUAUGUGCCAACGGAUCGUGCUCAGGUUUUCAAUGAUUUGCGGGAACAUUUGAUACAAGCACAGCAAACAAUGAAAUCUACGCAAGAUGCUAAUCAUCAUGAAAAUCUGUUUAAUGUUGGUGAUUUGGUGCUUCUAAAACUUCAGCCCCAUAGACAACUUUCAUUGGCUGGGAGAUGACAACGGAAGCUAGCUCCCAAUUUCUAUGGGCCUUUUCGUAUUUCCACCAGUAUUAGUCCAGUGGCUUAUAAAUUAGAAUUAACCCCUUAUUCCAAGAUACAGCCAGCUUUUCAUGUAUCUUGUUUGAAGAAAUUUCAUGGUCAACUGGAACUUGUGGAGCCCCAAAUUCCUCCAGUGGAACAGCUUGCUCAUCCUCCAUUUUUGCAAGCUAUGUUAGGAGCAAGAAUGCAUAACAACAGCAAUAAACUACUGGUUCACUGGGAAGGCUUAUCUCCAGCUGAAGCUUGUUGGGAAGACAUUGAUAGUUUCGGUUAGCUCAAGCAAGCUAGCUUUAGAAAGGGCUAGAUCAAACUACCAAAAAUUGGGAAGUGAAAGUUUUUGAGAGACAUAAUAAGGCCAAGCAAGCUUUAGAAAGGGCUACAAGUCAGUUAGAUUGCUACAAAAGUCAAGGAAUUUUCUUACAUAAUAAGUUAGUCCAAGUAAAACAAUAUUAUGUAUUCCUAGUCAAAAUAGGAAUAUAUAAGGAUUCCUAUCUAAAUAGGAAUAUAGUUAGUAAUUCCUAUUUCUAUUCUAAUUAAAAGGAAUAAAACAUUCAGCCUAUGGAUGAAAUUAUGAGAAUUAUUUUUUACCAAAAGGCUCAAGUCCUUACAAUUCAAAGAUUCAGGGUUCUCUCUAAAGAGCCCUAACUUAUUUCACUGUAAGUGGUUAAAGAACAAAAGCUCUCAAUCCUUUAUUCGAUCCACUAGUCCUUAGACCCAUAACUCAAUCUCAGACUCAGGACCAUAUCACAUGCAUCAAUACAAGUUAUCCAAACAAGUAAACACCUACAGAAGGCAAAAGAUUUUGCUCUCAAGAGAAAAAGAUAGCAUUACAAAUUACAAAAGAAGGGAUCUUACCAAUUCACCAUUGCAAUAUACU
rnacentral:misc_RNA from 1 species